GUGGUAUACAAAUACUACCCAUUACUAUCAUUAAACUGAAUGUUUAGAGUAGCCUUAACUACAAAGUGGACAUGAUGAGAGAGAAGCAGGGAAGAACAGGAAGUUUUACUUUUUUUUUUUGAUGGGGGGUGGGGUGGUAAGACAAUAGGGCAGAGUCAGCAGACCUGGGUUCCAUCUUGGCUCUGCAAUGGAACAAGUGAAAGAAUAAUAGUUCUAGAGUUAGAGGAUCUGGAUUCAAAUUUCCACCAUGAUGCUUAUUCAUAACAAAGAGCGGGUCACUUAAUCUCCUUGGGCCUCAGUUUUCUCAUCUGUAAAACGAGGGUGUCAGACUAGAGGUCUGCUGUUCUAUGACCUCAUGGACUAUUUCAACUCUCUAAGCCUCAGUUUCCUUGUCUAUUGAACAAAGGGGAUGGACUAGAUGACCUCUAGCAUUCUUUUUCGUCCUCAAUUCUCUGAUCAAUGCUUACUGAUCCUCAAGUCUUUUUUUCACCACUUCUUCUUCCUUCCUCCAGCAGCCUGGAUGCAGCACGGCUCUAUCUAGCCUGAUUUCUCAGUGCCCCCAAGAAAACUCAGUACCAGUUUUACAUCCAGGAAAAAAGAAAAAAAGCUCUUCUUGGAAAAUUCAGUUGUCAGAAUUAGAGAAUGAAGUGAAACAGCAUGGUGAACAUGACCCUGUCACUAGAUUGAUGGCUGACUUGAGAGAGCUGCCCCUCUCCAGAGCCCUCACAACCAUGGCCUGGAACCAUAUGGCUGCCUCAAAUGAGGAAGGAAGGAUUCUCAACCUUAAUACCUUGGUCAUUUAUGAUCCAGAUCCCCGCUUCACCUUUACCUUUUGAUUAUGUUCAUGGCUUCCCACCUACGGUGCCCCAGCCUCUGCCAUAUCAGUCAAUCAAUCAGUUAAGUAUUUCAUUUUUAAAAAAUUUACAUUGAAAUUUUUUAACAUCUCCAAAAUAUCCCCUGUAUAACUUUACCUCCCUUCCCAGGAGCCAUAUCUUACAACAAAGAAUAUUUUUAAAGGAAAAAAAAAGGAAAAAAAGAAUAAAUGAAAAAAAAUCAACA
rnacentral:lncRNA from 1 species